rnacentral:misc_RNA from 1 species
UUUCCGUAGGUGAACCUGCGGAAGGAUCAUUACCGAAUUGUCAAACGGGUUGUUGCUGGUCUUCAAACGGGGACAUGUGCACGCUCUGUUUACACAUCCACUCACACCUGUGCACCCUCCGUAGUUCUAUGGUCUGGGGGACCCUGUCUUCCUGGCGUGGUUCUACGUCUUUACACACACUCUGUAAUAAAGUCUUAUGGAAUGUAUGCCGCGUCUAACGCAAUACAAUACAACUUUCAGCAACGGAUCUCUUGGCUCUC